rnacentral:rRNA from 1 species
GUAGGUGGCAAGCGUUGUCCGGAAUUAUUGGGCGUAAAGCGCGCGCAGGCGGUUCUUUAAGUCUGAUGUGAAAGCCCACGGCUCAACCGUGGAGGGUCAUUGGAAACUGGAGAACUUGAGUACAGAAGAGGAAAGCGGAAUUCCACGUGUAGCGGUGAAAUGCGUAGAGAUGUGGAGGAACGCCAGUGGCGAAGGCGGCUUUCUGGUCUGUAACUGACGCUGAGGCGCGAAAGCGUGGGGAGCAAACAGGGAUUAGAUACCCUGGUAGUCCACGCCGUAAACGAUGAGUGCUAAGUGUUAGGGGGGUUUCCGCCCCCUUAGUGCUGCAGCUAACGCAUUAAGCACUCCGCCUGGGGAUACGGCCGCAAGGCUG